rnacentral:lncRNA from 1 species
UGUAACAAAAGAAGUAUCAAUUUAAAGGAGGGUAAUUCGCAACCUCUAAAAUGCUAGUACACUUCCAAGCAGAGGGAUAAUCCGUACUCUAAUGAAGAAGAAACUAACUCUGAUAUCUGAGGUGAGUGAAGUCUCGACAAAUUGUCACGGACACAGAAAUACAAACUCGAGAUCUAAUAAGAAGUUCAAGAAGAACUGGCAAGAACUAGAUUAAUCAGAUGAAUAUAAGAACAAGACCUGAGAGGCGAGCUAGAGCUCUAAGAAAUGUGUUGUCGAGACUGAAGAACUCUUCAGCUUCGAUUCCAAUAUAUACUCCUAUUUAGGAAGCUUCUGAAGCAACUUCUACCAACUAAGAAGCUUCUAGAAGGUUCCAGAGACUUGCUUCUAGAAGGUUCUAG